rnacentral:rRNA from 1 species
UACGUAGGAUGCAAGCGUUGUCCGGAAUUAUUGGGCGUAAAGAGCGCGCAGGCGGUAUGACAAGUCAGAUGUGAAAGAGGCCGGCUUAACCGGCAAGGGUCAUUUGAAACUGUCAGACUAGAGUGCAGCAGAGGAUAGUGGAAUUCCCGGUGUAGUGGUGAAAUGCGUAGAUGUCGGGAGGAACACCAGUGGCGAAGGCGACUAUCUGGGCUGCAACUGACGCUGAGGCGCGAAGGCUAGGGUAGCAAACAGG